GUGGGGAAUCUUCCGCAAUGGACGAAAGUCUGACGGAGCAACGCCGCGUGAGUGAUGAAGGUCUUCGGAUUGUAAAGCUCUGUUAAUCGGGACGAAAGAGCCUAGUGUGAAUAAUGCUAGGAAGUGACGGUACCGGAAUAGAAAGCCACGGCUAACUACGUGCCAGCAGCCGCGGUAAUACGUAGGUGGCAAGCGUUGUCCGGAAUUAUUGGGCGUAAAGCGCGCGCAGGCGGAUCUGCCAGUCUGUCUUAAAAGUUCGGGGCUUAAACCCGUGAUGGGAUGGAAACUACAGAUCUAGAGUAUCGGAGAGGAAAGUGGAAUUCCUAGUGUAGCGGUGAAAUGCGUAGAUAUUAGGAAGAACACCAGUGGCGAAGGCGACUUUCUGGACGAAAACUGACGCUGAGGCGCGAAAGCCAGGGGAGCGAACGGGAUUAGAAACCCCGGUAGUCC
rnacentral:rRNA from 1 species